AGUCAGGACCUCAGAGAGAAACCUGUAACUACCAACUCGGAGAGAAGCGAGUAGGGAGAGGAAGACUGAUGUACAUCUCAAGCCAGCCACUGCCCCCUUUCAAAGGUGAACACAGUAAAAUAUACGACAGGUGUGCUAUCAGAUCCCAGAGGGGCAUAAAAGCGGGAGGCAGAGAGGUAACUCAGCCAUCUGUGGAAGGAAGCCCCAGACACCUACAACACUGAGGGAUGGAGCUGUACCCAGGUGUGUCCCCGGUGGGACUGCUGCUGCUGCUACUGCUGGGACAAGAGGUCUCUGAAACUCUGCCUACACUUUCUCACAGAAGAGACAGCUUGGAUGCAUCCUUAUCUUCCACGUUCUAGCAGGAAGUAUUCUCUUCUUCUCUUCAAUUUUAUAAACUUUGUUUAAAAAUAAAAAGAACUUGCCAAUAAAUAAGCACA
rnacentral:lncRNA from 1 species